GCCGGGUGUGGUGGCGCUCGCCUGUAGUCCCAGCUUCUUGGGAGGCUGAGGCAGAAGAAUUGCUUGAACCCGGGAGGCAGAGGUUGCAGUGAGCAGAGAUCGUGCCACUGCACUCUAGCCUGGGCAACAGAGUGAGACUCUGUCUCAA
rnacentral:SRP_RNA from 1 species